GUUCUUCCCCUCAUGUAAACUCCAUGUCUAGCUGAAAGACUUCGCUAUAACAGAUUGUGACACCUCUCCCGACUUAAUUACUUCUGAGGUGGAGGAGGAAUGUAAAGCUGAUGGGGCUGAAUGCUGCUGGUGCUGCAGCUCUGUCUGUUCUUGGCCACAGGGAACUCUCCUUUGGGUCCCGUUCCACUCAGCCUCCAUGGAGAAAUGGUGUUCCCUAACAUCGUCCUUGGAGAUCAGGGUGCAGUUUGGUGAUACCGAGUCUUCAAAAGGACUGUCCUCAGAAAAAAAACAACUGCCUAACAGUGGAAAUAAUGUUGAAGAACUGCCCCUAGCCCAAUUACGGUUUCAAUUAAACACUGCUAAAAACCACACCAGAAAGCACGCUGCACAAGGUGACUUUGUAGGAACGACUUCAUAGAGGUCCACGUUCCUUUUAAAAGCCUUCCAAGCAUCACGUUUUCUAAAACUAAUGCUAAUGCAGCCAAAGGCCCUGGAUUGGCCAACCAUCUUAAUGCUGAAGCAAAGCUGAAGGAAGUCACAGAAGAGGAUCCUGGCUUGCAGGACGGGGCUGUUUGAGAGCUCAAAGGCAGGAUGAAGCUGAGGACAGCACGCUGAAAAUACUCUUCCUCACGUCCCAGCUGUGCAUUGCACGAGUGGAAAAGCAAGGGGCUGCUCACCAGAGGGCUUGCUUCCUUCAGAGCAAUGUUUGGUGAAGAGGAGGAGAGACAGCCAGCAAGACCUGCAUCCCCAUUGAGGCAACGAGCGCUUAAAACACGCACAGCCCCAGGCAAUGCCCUGCAGGCAGCUCUGCCCACAACCAGACAAGGCAAUGAGCAGCCAUGCCUACUGGUUCUGCCUUUUUCCAUAGUUCUCUGUGCCCAAAUCCCAUCAAAGGACUGGGAACUGUAACUGCAGCCUUGAGUAAAGUUGGUAACUCCCCCCAUGAAAAUAACAAAAACAGAAGUUUGAAAAAGAAUGGAAAUUAUCCUUCUUAUCAGAAUUGCCUUCAAACCCUCCAAAGGGUAAUUGGUAACGUUAAAAAUAAAGAAUUGAU
ensembl:lncRNA